UUAGGAUAAAGGCAUACAGACUGCCUGUGUGGACCUUUCCAGAGCACCUUGAAGAAAAGCCUGCCAGGUGAAUCCUGGAAGAUAAUAGUGAACUACCUAAAACUUCACCAAUUAGUGGCCCCCACUGCAGCAGCAAUAUCAGAUGUGAUGUCUUUGUUAAAGCAGAUAAACAUAGCCUCAGGUACAAGGAAUGUGGUCAUUGAUAUGCUCCUUCUGUGUGGUCCAACUCUCUUCCGCGCAUAGGACACACACACAUCUUUCAGUGCUGCCCUCAGAGUCCAGCCCAUGCUUGCCAGCCCUCCCUUAAUCCCUGCCUUCCAGCAACCUGCACACUCAGCGCUCCACACAUUCCACAGGGUCAGUACCCAGCUCCCAGGGCUCUGUCAUCUUUGGAAGACCAGACGGUUGUUGCUAGGCAGAAUAUACAGGGCACAACUGUAGCCAACUGUCUAACUCAAGCCUAUUCAUGGUAUUUCUCUGUUUGCAUGGAUUAUGAAUCGAGGAAGCAAUGAUUUUUCAGUUUACCACACAAGCUGUUGUUCCUUGAUUAACUGUUAUGAAAAUGAUAGCUAUGUUCUAUGACUUUAAUUUUACUAAAAUUCUGAGAUGCAAAAUAAUAUUCAGUCUAUAUUAUUUGCAGGAGAAUGAUUAGCUCUGCAGAGUAGUAGGAAGUAACAAAAGAAAUAGAGGGCAUUGGAACUGUCUUAUAUAGCAAGGCACAUGUAUGGAUUGGGGCAGGUUUGUCCUGUGCCAGCUUUUUGUACUACUUAAUCAAGUGGCCUGAAAUCAACUGUGUAUGCCUGUACAAGUUAUGACUUCUGACACAUGGAGGUCACUUGAAAUCAAAUAGAGGUACAAUCAAGUUCUGGUUUUACCUUGUACUAGUGCUGUGAUAUAUGCUUAGUUGCUUUACUUUCCUGAGUUUUAAUUUCUUCAUCUGUAAAAUGGUGGUAAUAACAGUCAAUGUGAAUGUAAACGAGAACAUAUAUGUAAAGGGGCCUCUCAGUUUAUACAACAAAGUCAUUGUUUAGUAAAUGUGAAUACUUGCCCCACCAAUAAAUAUCUGUUACAUGGACUUGAGUGUAUAGUUGAACUUUAUUUCAAUCUUGAAAA
rnacentral:lncRNA from 1 species